rnacentral:pre_miRNA from 1 species
GGAGGGAUAGCUGGGUCAAAUGGUGGUUCCAUUCCCAGAUUUCCAAGGAAUCUCCAUACUGUUUUCCAUAUUGGCUGCACCAAUUUGCAGUCCCACCAGCAAU